rnacentral:misc_RNA from 1 species
AAGAUGUUUUGUGCAAUUCAAAAGCUUGGCAAAGGGUUUUCUUGAUGUCUUCGGCGCAAGUAGUUUUGGUAUUCAAUGGAGGAUUUAUGUCUCAGUCAUGGUAAUUUAAGCUGCAUCAUGUCUGAACUUAAUCUGAGUCAUUUUGUUUCUAUCUAGUAGUAGCAGUAGCAAUAGUUUUUUGGUAUGAGUAGGAUAUUUUGGCAUAGUGUUUCUUAUUGCACUAUAUGAAUG